AUUUAAUAGAAGUAAAAUAUAGAGACAAAAUAAUAUAUUUUUUUAAAAUACAGAAACUAAGUAGUUAGUUCCAUUAAAAUACAUUGUCUAAAUAGUAAUUUUCCCUAAAACUAAACUUCCCUAAGAUCUUUUACCUGCAGCUGCUGGAUGCUUGACCUUUUCCCACAAAAUUCACUGUCCAAAACAGAAUGAUCAACAUAAUCUAUAGUGCGAUGGAAUGCAUUCUUGGCUUAUAAGGAAAUGGAAAUUCUACAACAAAAUUUAAGAAACUAGAAUCUAUGUUAGUCCAACUCUUGCUUCUCAGUAUUCUGCAAUUUCUCAAACCCUCAAUGGUCGGGAUAAAGAAUGCCGUUGCAGUUAUCUUGUAGUUAGAAAAUCCCCGGGCAUCCAGCCGGGUUGCCUCAUUUUACAAUGGAUGACUGGACCAAUUGCUGUAGCUGAUGGACAACAUGAGACAUUCUCGGUCGCAUUGACGGCACAUGUUGUGUACAAGUAUAUACGAGGUCCACUACCUUUUGAAUCACACCAGCUUCCGGAAUUUCGGAAGAAGAUGAAGAUAUGAGAGGAUCCAAGAGAUCAGGAUAGCGAUGUGCCUGAACCAACGGUGUGGCCCACUCAAAUAUACUUUGCCAACCCACUGAAUCAACUGCUUGUGCAGGCCUGCGACCAGUGACUAUUUCUAACAGCAGAACUCCAAAGCUGUAGACAUCACUUUUUGUUGUAAGCUCAUUUCUGUAAACAAACUCUGGUGCAAGGUACCCAUAUGUACCACCUGCCAUCACUGUUCUCUCGUGCAUCACUUCCCAUGGCACAAACUUGGAGAGACCAACCCCCAUCAAGUGUGCUCCAAACUCUUCAUCAAGAAGCACGUUGCUGGCACGAAUAUCCCGAUGCACAACAUGUGGCUUAACCUUGUCAUGCAAGAACCUAUUCACGAGGAGAAACCAAGCAAAAGACAUUAUGUCAGUAGAAAAUAAACCGUCACAGAGAUUAAUUGGUUAGGUACAGGCUACACAUCUAUGAAAAGUCCAAUAAUAAUCUACAUCUUAUCAUCCCUUGGCGUAAAAUUUUUCAGUAGUAACACUUUUCUUUCCUUAUUAAACCCUAUUUGAGGCUUUGGAUGGGCUGCAUUUUGCGCAGCUCCAUAGGGCCUCCCAACCAUGGUUUUGGCCCAAAAACUAUGGUCCACGGGCUGCAGUUAGAAAAGAAAAAGGGCAAGAGCAGUUAGGAAAAGCCGCACAAACCAAUCCACCAAACAGGAAGUUAUUCAGCAAUCAAAGAUGAUGCAAAGUUUAGGAAGAAACCAAGGCAAAGAGAAAACAAAAUUUCAGAGACAAAGUUAGCAGAAAUUCAGGUUUUAUUAUGAUGUUUCAAAAACGAAGUUAGCAGGCAUUUAUGUUUUAUGAUGUCUCCAAAAACAAAGAUUAACAAUAAUACUGCUCAUGCUUAUGUUACUAGUAACAAUAUGCAGUUUGCAAAUAAGUAACACAGGCCAUGGAUACUCACGCAAUCCCUUGAGCAAGGGUAGUAGCUAUUUUCAUUCUCAUAGCCCAAUCCAAGCUCCUCCCUCCCCUUGGUAUGUGGUGUAGCCAUCUAUCUAAGGGCCCAUUAACUAUAAACUCAUAAACAAUAUAGCGAUCACCGUGAUCAUAGCAACAUCCUUUAAUAGCCACCAAAUUUGGAUGAUGAAGCCUUGCAACCCUUCCAAUCUCAGAAUAAAAAUCCUUCUUCCUUUGGAAACCAGAUCUCUUCAAUCUCUUAACAGCAACCCUUGAUCCAUCAGGAAGAAGACCACUAUAUGUGCCACCCGUUUUUGCAUCACCAAGAAGACGAUUUCCUUCACUAAAAUUCUUUGUAAUUGACCUCAGUUCCUCAUCAGUGAAGACUUUCCAUGAGGGCGGAACUAAUGCAGAAGCUGCAGGAUUAUAUAAUUUGUGGGACUUUCUGCGCUUCCUACUCCGUCUGCAAGCAAGAAGCCAAAUCACCACAGCAAACAUCGUGCAGAGGAUCAACCCACUAACAACUGCAAGGAUAAUAAGAUAUUCCCUGUGACAGUGCAUGUGGUAGCAUUUGUUUUCAACAUCAAGCAUGCAAAUAAAAGCAUGAGACUGGUUGCAUCUCUCUUCCAUGAGAUAUGUGGUUCUAUUAUUCAACAAUGUACAGAAAUCAGCUCCAGUAUUAUUGUGGCUUGAAUCAGAAGAAACUCCAGCAAAUAUUGACUUAUUCCAAUAUGAUGAAUUAUCAGACCACUUCCAAUUAAAACCAAAAGUCGCGUUGAUGCUUCUUCCUCCAACCCAGCAUCCAUUAGCAAUUUGGCCACACAGCUGUUUAGCGAAGCUUAGUUCUUGAGAUGAUGUCAGCGCCGCCAAAUGUCCACUAUAGCUUUCACAAAGGGCCUCUGACUCAACCCAUGACAGGGAAUUUUCUAAAUAUUUCAAGCACUUAUUCUUAUUUGGACUGAUGUCCCAGCCAGAACGGCACCAUGCUGUUACCCAGAAAAAUUGACCUUCAAUAUAGUAAUGAAACAUACUCUACACCAGCUAUGAGAAACAAUAUGCUAUAAGAAACCCUACAUUUCCACAAACCCUAAGCACAUUUCCAUAAUAAUCCAUUCUAAAAAUUUAUGCAAGAAAUCUGAGACAUGCCAAAAAUGUAAUACUUCUGUAAGACAUCCAACAUAUGUUAAAACAGCAAUGUCACAAAAUUUAAAUUCAAUAUGCCUUUUUUCUUCUUCAAAUCAAUAUAUUCUGUCAAGUUAUUUUAGGGAUGCUUUUUACAGGCUUGAAUCUUACUAUAACUACUGUUUAUAAGGUCAGUGCAAGGUUAAAUUUUUAGUUGCCAUCCCUAAACAUUAGGGGAUGUUUCAUGUCAGUCCCUCAACUUCAAUUUGUUAUUAAAAAAACCUUCAAUCUUCAUUUUCUUUUAACAAAAAUCCAUGUUGCCAGAAUCCGGUAUGAGCUCAGAUCAAGAUUUAACAUGGCACUUGCACGCUGGUAUUUAAUUAAUAAAAAAUUAUAACCUUACCACGUGGAUUUGAAAACUCUCACUUUCCUCUUUUUGCAUUAUUCUCUCUCCUUUUUUUAUUUUUCCAGUUCUUUCUCUUCAUGUUUCCUUGGGUCUGCUGCUUCUAUUAUAACAUACAAACUAACAUUCAAAGAGAAAAAAUCAAUUCUUCAUCUUCUUCAUCUUGUACUCUUUCAUCUCACUGUGGAAAUGGAAGCAGUAAAUCAAGUCAUCCCCUCCAUCACUCCACAACGUCACAUAUCUUCUGGGCCUCUCUCAAUUCUUGCAUUUCUGUAUAAUCUUCUCCUCCUCUCCUUGGCAUGUGUUGCUUCGGGUUUUAUAUCAACCAUGGCCAUCGUUCCUAGGUCUCUUAGAUAUUUUUCUCUAACCCUCUUCAAGCAAGCCAUGACUACAGAUCCUUGGCCUUUUUCCCUUGUUUUCUUGUAAAAAUUUCUUGGCUUUCUUGUUCUUGUUCCUGUUUAUGCAGUCAUCGAUCGUUAUAAUGGGUAGUGGAGAGAAGAGUCUAAGGAAUUUUCACCUACACUUGCCUCAUCUUCAUCAUCAUCAUCAUCA
rnacentral:misc_RNA from 1 species